GAGGACAGGCCUUUGGAAGAAGCGACAAACGGCGGAUCUGACUCCCCCCAGUUUCCUCCAUUUUCUUCUUCUUCUCAAGCCAUAAGACAAAACACCCCUCCUUAUGCACAGUGACAAGAAACGGCGCUCCUUCAAUGGAAUUUUGAGAUCCAUCUCAUCUUCUUCAUUUGAGAGGGUUAAUAAAAACAAACUUGAGAAAAAGCAGCUGCUCGCACCAAAAUCCUCUGAACCAAGCUCCCAUUUUCUUCCUUAAACCACCAGCAAAAGGCCAACCAUGGACAGCAGCUGAACCACCUCCAAAACACCAUUAGAGCACCUUUAAAGCCACCUUAUUAAGCUCCAAAACACUGCUCUCAAACCACCCCAAAUCAGCCCAUGUUUUCUGCUCAAAAUAACGCAGCAAAAACAGCUCUCAAACAAGCCAAUAACCAGCUGAAAUCCAGCUCUAAAACACCCAAAAAAUAUCAGCCAAAACGCAGCUAAAAUAGGUCCCAAAUCCAGCUACAUCGCACCACCAAAACCCGCGCCACAUCAACUUUAAAACAGUCCCGAACACUGCUGCAUUUCUGCUUUAGAAAGUGUUAAAUCGAUGGAACAGUCGAAACAAAACUCUUGCAUUUGAAGAUUAAAUUUCAGAUUUAAAAUUUCUCUUAGUUUGGGUGUCGAUGUUUGGGUUCGAUAGAAGUGUUGUUGCUCGUUGAUUUCCCCUGCUGCUGUUCCGGAAUUGUUGAACCUCGCCAAUUAGGAGUUCUAGGCUUGUAUUUGGUUCUUGAGCUACUGUUGUCUCCUUGCUUAGAUUCGCAGCAAUGCUGAUGAAUGGAAGGAAAGAAAAUGCUAUGAGGAAAUCAGACGAAGCCAACGGCUAUGUUCUUCGAACUCUGCAUCAAACGAAAAGAGAAUCAACUAAUCAAAGAAGAAAGAAGAAAAGUCAAUCAAUCAGACUUGCUAAAGAUUCUCAAGCAUUUAAGAAAUGAAAGAGACAAUCAAGUAUAGAGAGCAAAUCAAAGGGAAAUAUGUGGAAGCUCAAAUCAAGGAUAAUUGGAGGAACCAAAUCUUCAAACUAAAAAUGAAUCUGGCCACACCUCUCAAGUUAGAUUCAUGAGGCUAACCUUGGGUCUCACACUUAUAAAUCUAUGCCUCACAAGGAAAGACUUUCAGUCAUUGCUGCUCUGCGAUCCCAGAAAAGAGAAAUCAGAAGACUCAUCGAGCAAUAUAAAAGAAGAAGUAGAAUGGCAAAGAAGAUCACACAACUUGACAUCUAUUUCUACACCUUUCUAGUUCUUAGUACAAAUAUUGUAUUCUUGAGUCUGUAAGUGUUGCAAAAGAUAGGAAGAGUUAGAAAACAAAACAAGAGUUGUGUCAACACUAAAAAAAACAUUGUUGUUGUAAAUAGUUGGUGGUGAACAUACUAAAACCAUCACUGUUGUAAAGCCUUAGUCAAGAUCUAAGAGAACCCUUGUGACCUAAGGGAACUAGAUGUAGGUACCACAUCGGUACAAAACUAGUAUAAAAAUUGUUGUGCCUCCUUUACUUUUCUAUCUACAAAAUUUAAUUUUGCUGCGAUUAA